rnacentral:pre_miRNA from 1 species
AGCCAGCGCAGACUGGUGUGGCCCAGCCGGCUCUGGGCGAGUGUCUCUUUGAGCGGCUCACUCUCAAGCAUGAUUAGGAGG